rnacentral:lncRNA from 10 species
UAUGUUUUCAAGUUGAAUUGAAAGCCAAAACAUAUUUUAACUAUAUUUUAAACAAGUUGAAUUGAAAGCCAAAACAUAUUUUAACAUAUUUUAACCAUAACCAAAACAUAUUUUGACCAUAUCCCUUAUUAUUGAGGGAGGUAUUUCUUCCCUAGUGCUGUGGGGAUGACUUGGACAGAAACCACUGGACACUAUACAGAUGUAGACUGACAGUUUACUGGUCACCUGCACUAACAGCCUGAGAGAAAAGGACACUGCAUAUCACAGAGAGAUGCAUAGAUGUUACACUCAGAAAGAGAGUGAACAACUAGAAGAUGUGGAAGUAGAUCAAUAAACCAAACUCCCUGUCACCUCAGACUCUGCACCUGUUAAAGCCCUGUAAAGAGCCGACAUGUAAGGACUUAUACUGACUGGAUACAGAGAAUAUGGAGCAAAUCAAAC